AAACUUUUUUUCACUACCCUUCAUACUACAGCUGUCGAAAAACCACAGCAACGUCGACAGACCUGGAGGCAUAGCUGUACUUGUUUAACUCACAACGACAACGGGUCAAUUAUGAGUGAAGAACCGUUCACCAAAUGAAGACCGCAGCCAGGUGACGGGAUUCUGUGGUAAUCGCAAACAGAGUGAAAUGCACACGGUGAGUAAUGAACGCAGACCUUCAGUGCCGGACCUCUGACCCGCUAACCUCCAUCCCGACAGCCAGCGCCUUCUCCGGAUGCCAUUGCGGUAUAGCUUCUCGGCUUUUUGGGUAAGAUCGAGUGGACACCGGGGAC